rfam:Clostridium tyrobutyricum DIVETGP, WGS project CBXI01000000 data, contig: NODE_10
AAUAACUUUCGGGGCAGGGUGAAAUUCCCGAUCGGCGGUAUAGUCCGCAAGCUUUUAGAAGCAUGAACUGGUUUAAUUCCAGUACCGACAGUAAAGUCUGGAUGAAAGAAAGUAAGG